rnacentral:rRNA from 1 species
GCAAGUCGAGCGAGAAAGCCCUUCGGGGUGAGUAGAGCGGCGGACGGGUGAGUAACGCGUAGGAAUCUGCCUGGUAGUGGGGGACCACAAGUGGAAACGCACGCUAAGACCGCAUACGCCCUAUGGGGGAAAGCGGGGGAUCUUCGGACCUCGCGCUAUCAGAGGAGCCUGCGUUAGAUUAGCUAGUUGGUGAGGUAAAAGCUCACCAAGGCGACGAUCUAUAGCUGGUCUGAGAGGAUGAUC